CACGUAGGGGGCGAGCGUUGUCCGGAUUUAUUGGGCGUAAAGAGCUCGUAGGCGGCUCAGUAAGUCGGGUGUGAAACCUCCAGGCUCAACCUGGAGACGCCACCUGAUACUGCUGUGGCUGGAGUCCGGUAGGGGAGCGUGGAAUUCCUGGUGUAGCGGUGAAAUGCGCAGAUAUCAGGAAGAACACCAAUGGCGAAGGCAGCUCUCUGGGACGGUACUGACGCUGAGACGCGAAAGCGUGGGGAGCGAACAGG
rnacentral:rRNA from 1 species